AAUGUCAGUGACCUCGAGUAACCUCGCUGGCUGAUGCAACACUUCCACCGACAGCGCCAGGGCAACCUGGCAAAGCAAGGGGUGGUGAAAGGAGAGGGGGCACAGACUCAGCAACCCCUGCUGCACUUCAACUCGAAUCUGUCCCACUCAAAACCGUGACAGAAACAGAAACCGACUUGGCCUGUCACAGCACUUCAUGCAAGGCGUUUUCCACACAGCCUACCUAUCCCACUCCCGUUGAAGUUGAAGAGCCGGUGUAGGACUGAGGUGGACAAAGUUAAAAAUCACACAACACCAGGUUAUGGUCCAACAGGUUUAUCUGGAAGCAUUAGCUUUCGGAGCGCUGCUGCUUCAUCAGCUACCCGGUUUUUAACUUUGUACUCCCACAGAAGAGGGCUCUUGUGACAAGAGUGUAGCCUCUUGGCUAGAAGAAAAAUCAGAAGAACUGUGGAUACUGUAAAUCAGAAACAAAAACAGAAGUUGCUGGAAAAGCUCAGCAGAUCUGGCAGCAUCUGUGAAGUUAAUGUUUUCGGAUCCAGUGACCCUCCCUCUGGUCCUGCCUGCUCCAGAUGUAACAUAAUGUGAAGAUAAAUUACUGGAGUUGUGGAGAAUGGCAAAGUCUUGAAGCACUCAACACCUGUCUGGAUGCUUCUCCUCCACAUUGGAUGGUCUCAGACCAGUGAUUCCCAGGUACUGCAGGAAUGCUGCAGUUCACCAGUGAGACCUUGAAGGUAUCACUGAAGUGCUUCUUCUGUCCUUCUGGGGCUCGCAUGCUGUUUUGAACCUAGGAGUACCCAUCUCCUCACUCUAUGCCCCAUCAUCACAUGGGCUGCUUUCAGCACAGCCAACCCAUUUUCACCUACUAAUGGGUCCCCAUUAUCAGCUUUCCUUUCUCCCAUGCACACUAUCAUGCAUUCCUUUAGCUUCCUGACUGUUGUUUUCUCUCUCUCCGGCCUCUAACUCCACUGAUCUGCUCACUCCCUACCCACCUACUCCCUUUUACCCAGCUAUUCGUAAGAAAGAUCAUUGGAUUCAAAAUGUUAACUCUGCUCUCUCUCUCUCUCCACAGUUGCUGCCAAACCUGAGUUUAUCUAGCAACUUAUGUUUUUACUUCAGAUUUCCAUCAUCUGCAUUCUUUGUUUCAUUUUAGUGUGUCAUAAAAUCUCUGAACAGGUUGAUUAAACAUAUUUACCCCACUUCCAGGAUUUGGUGAAUUUAUAGUCAGAACCUGGGAGUGUGAAACCACA